rnacentral:lncRNA from 1 species
UUAGGCGUGAAUAAAACUGAGUAAAACACUUUGUUAUAUAUAAGAAUAUUGGCCCAGUAAUUAAAAUGGCCUGUUCCCCAGUACACAGCAACUACCCUUUUUCUGUGCAGUGAAAUCAUAGCAAGUGCCGAGUGCAUUAGUGGUAGGUGUUAUCAUAGUACACAGUCAUUUCUCCCUAGGUUCAUCUGGACUAUGCUGUGACACAGGAGAGCUCUGAGUCCUGGCCACACGCUGCAGAAGGGCUUUUUUGUAUCUCCUCCUAAGAUGAAGAAGCACUUUUCUCCCUGAUGGAAAUGGGUGUGGUAUAUUUAAGUUUGGUAAUGUCUAUUGUCUAUUUUCUACAUGGAGUCAAAAGGAAGGCAAUAACAAUUUCACAAGCUGGAAUUCACAAGUGUGGAUUCUUGCCUUGUGUACCAGCAGCAUCCAGGACAGUGCUUGCUUAUUUAGCUUUUACCAAUGAGGUCAUUUCAAAUAUUUUCCCUACUCCUGCAUAGUAACAAAGUGUACCCCAGGAUUACAGGUUUGUAUAAACUCAGAAUAGAGGGGGGGUGCUGCAGAGAUGGCUCAAUAGUUAAAAGCAUUGGCUAUUCUUCUAAAGUGCUCAGGUUUGAUACCCAGUGCCCACAUGGAGGCUCACUGCCAUCUGUAACUCUAAUCUCAGGCAAUCUUUCUUUCUUCUGUCCUUCAUAGGCACCAGGCACACGUGUAGUAUACAUAUGCAUGCAGAUAAGACAUCCAUACAUGUAAAUAAAUAAAUAUUAAGAAAAGUUUAUAAAUUGUAUUUUUAUUUCUCCUAAUAGGAAGGGAAGACUAAUGUUAUAUUCUUGGUUAUUUUAAAUUUCCUCCCAGCAAGUGGUGGAUAUAAACCACUUAGUUUAUCCAGUGAACACAGUGCAGGAGAAGAAAUAUUAACUGCUUUUUAAAAAACACAUUAUUAAUUUCCCUUUUUAUAUUACUCAUCUCUGCUCCCCAAUUAUAAAUUAAAACUUUAUAAAACUUUAUAAUUUAUAAGGCAAAGUUAUAGCUUACAUAAUGGUAAAAUGGACAGGAACUCCAGUGUCCUCCCCAGACAGUACCCACAUUUGUCCUUUGCGUGUCCAUGCAGGUGGCCUCUGAACAAUAAGCGCACUGCCACCCUUUGUGCCAAGUGUGCACAGCGUUGUGCUGUGCUGUAAGCUGUGAUCUAAGCUUUUAGAUUCCCCACCUAGCUUAUUCCCUCCGGCACUAUGUUCACUCUUCUGCUGUGCAUUUGUUUUCUGAAUCUGCCUUCUUCAAAGUGCAAGCUGAUGGGUACAAUCAAGAAGCUUAUGCAGUUAUUUUGCCACCAUGAUAAAUGUUUGUGAGAAGCUCAGAGUGAUCCUUGGGGAGGUAUCAACUCUGAAAUUCUGUCACCUUUUGAAGUCGCAUUUAACUAUUGAAGUCUCAAAGAAACACUGACUGGUGCACCUGGGUUGGAGUUCAAUUAAGCGUGACUCUUUAAAUCCUUCACUAAAUUCUCCCUCUAUUGUGAAAGGAUGGCCUUUCAUAAACAUGAAAUCAUGGAUGCUGCUGUUGUUUUGUUUUGUUUUGUUUUUACCAGUCAUCUUUCAGUGCUUUUAUUUUGCCUUGGGCAUGAGUGAUCCUGCUGCUCACUUCAGCCGCAGUGACUGGCUCCUGCUGUUUGGUUACAAGCUCUGGACAGUUCCGAGCAUGUGCAUGCGAAGCUUGGUGGUUCAAACUGCCAAUCCAGGUCUGGCCGUGUGGACGUCACCCAGGCCAUGCUUCUCUGAUGACAGGUGCAAGACUGGUGCUGGACUUCUUGAAAAGGAGUCAGUUCCUUGUUUCCGUGGCCCAGGGAUGAGGAUCCUUUUGUGAAUGUUCUUUAGGAGAGAGAUAAUUGUAGGUUUCUGCAUCUUAGGUUGAGGUUCCUUGUGUUAAGUCAGGCUUUGUUAUGAAGAAUUACGUGCAGAUAAAACACCCACCAAUAAAUAAGUAAAUAAAUAAACCUUAAGGAAAGUUUAUAAAUUCUUCUUUCAUUUCUUCUAAUAGCAAGGAAAGGAAGAAUAACAUUAUGACCUCUGCCAUUUUACAUUGCAUCCCCGUGAUUUGUGGAUGUAGACCAUUUAGCUUACCCAGGGGACGCAUGGCAGAAGGAGUGGAAACAUUAAGUGCUCUUCCUUACCGCAUUAUUAAUUUCCAAUAUUCCUGUCUUCUGUGUUACUCAUUUUUUGCUCCCCCAGUUGAAAUGAGGCUCUCAAGCAAGACUUUAUGAUUUAUAAGGUAAAAUCAGAAGAAAAACCACGGUCAGCUGAGAACUCGGUGUCUCUGAUCACUGUGUUAUUUCACAAUAAGCUCUGAGACCUGGCAUCUCAAGCUUGUAUGAGUUUACCACACGAUGGGAUUUUGAUUUUGUUUAGAAUGGAGCUAAAAGCUUUGUGAUGAAUUGAGUAUCCUGAAUUCAAGUUGAUUCAAUACUUUCUUGGUAAUAUUAGCUUGGCUCUCCUGCUUUGAGAAGGCUAGUAUUGCUCCACCAUUGUAAUUGUGCAUGCAAAGCGCUUUAUAGUUGUUGGAAUCCCACCAUCCCUGGUUAGAUUUUAGCUAGAGGUUGUUUAUCAUUCCUCAGAUAUGGGUAGGAAUGAAUGUCUUGUGCAAACAUGCCGUCUCUCCCUAGCCCAUACAACACAUUUUUGUUUGUAUUAAUAUGCAUACAUUUCCUUAUACUCCCUUGAGAUUCCUAUAUUCCUCCCAUAAAGUUCAAGGACACCUCAGGUUUAAAUUAAAAGAGGAAAUUAUAAAGAUUGUAUGCUUUUUGAAAGUAUCACAUUCUUCCACUUAUUCUUUAAGCGUGUAUACGUUCACCUGUUAUAUAUGCAUGAAGACCUGCACUUAUGUAUGUGUGUGUCUGUCUGUUUGUGUCUGUCUGUCUCUCUGUGUGUGUGUGUGUCCAUGUCUGCAUGUAUUUGUUUGUGGAUGUAUAAUAAUACAUUUUAAAGCAUUUACAGACUUGAAGAGCUGGAGGUUUUUCUUUAUACUUUUCACACUAUUCUAGUUUUAAACCAAAGCAGAGUCUCACUCAGGCAGAAUGGGAAUUUCUGGGGUGAAAAUGAAAUUGCUAGGUACGUGGCCAUUGCUUUAGAAAAAGGUACUCUUCCAAAAUACUUAAAAAAUUUUAAAUGCACAUUUUACUCCUUUUACCAGAAGUUUCUCAUUUCUUUUCAGAGUGAUAGAUUUAUUUUACUCACAAACAUCUUAUAAAGGAAUUUUAAGAUGUAGAUGUUCACCUAGUUACUUUCAGUCAUUCAUGUUUUUUAUAUCAAAUUGUUUUCUCUUUGUAUUUCAGUAUUUUUAAACAUUACCACAGAAACCUCUAUUUGUUUGGACAUUUUCAGUAUUCAUUUUCUAUGGCUUGUGUCUCUAUCAUCGAGAUAAGAAACAGAAAAACCUACUUUGUUUCAGACAAGUAUAGCAGAAUGAUUUAUUUGUGAAAUAAGGCUCUAAUUGCCCUAUCAUUUUCUCUAUGAUUGAAAUACAAGAUAAGGGAACAAUAAAGAAAAUCAUUCUCCUAGAAUAUUGCAAGCAAACAAAGAAACAAAAUUAUCAUGAAGGGUCAGAUAUGCACAGUAUGCUACGAGAAUGAGCUCGUGUGGUGUGUAGGUGUGCCCUGUUGCUACACAGUCUACAUUUGAAGAAAGGCUGUAAAGACCAAAAGGCUAAAGUCAGUACUUACAGCAUUCAGAUUCUUUAACAGAUGUCGUUAGCAUCCCUUUGAAGCAAGAUACAGGCCUGUAUCUAACCCCUAACAGGAACAUGAUUCACGGUAAGAUAUGCCAGGGCUAUGAACUCGCCUAAUGAAGCUGAGCCUUAUGCUCUGCAUCUGCUCAUAGAGCACACAAGAAAGUUCAUUGUUUAUAUCUUUUGUGACAUGCAGGGCUACAUUUAUACUUAACAGAAAUGGUUAAAUGUUUUGUGUAGUAUAAACACAGCUUGGAGAUCCAUAAUGGGAUUAAUAGUGAAUAACAAUUAUCAGUUAUCCCAGAAUUUAUAGACUGUGUAAGCACUCUGUAGCACAGUUCCCUCUUGUUUGAGAUUUAUUCAGUUCAAUUACUUAAUUACAUGUGAAAGCCAACGUCAAAUUCUCACUUUUUUGUAUCUUAAUAUAGCAAUAAAGUUUUCUAUGAAGCAGUAUCAGUCAUGGGUAUUGAGAAAACAAGUCAGGUAUUCUAAAUCUUUUAAAUAAAUUUUUAUGUAUGUGCAUGUGUGAGUGUCUGUGUAGAUGUGUGCUGUGUGUGUGCAUGACUGUGGAGAGCAGUAGAAGGUACCACAUCCUCAGGAGUGGGAGUUACGAGAGGGUGUCAGCUGCUGGAUGUGGGUGCUGGGAACAAAACUGGGUUCUCUGGGAAAACAGAAAUCACUCUUGUCAUUGGUCCCUGUCUCCAGCAUCAGUAUUGUAUUAUUUAUAGCUCUACUUGGUGGUGGCAGGAACCUGAGAGAGAGGGUCCAAGAAAAUGAGGCAGACUAGAGUCUCCUGCUUACCCAGAGCAUUAGACAGUUUGUUCUCUGAGGGUUAUGAGCAGUUACCCGAGUAAAGUUCUCAGGAGAUCACGCCGUACAGUCACAAAGACAAGCUGCAUUUGUCAAAAACAUGUUUUUCCACUGAGGCAUAGGAAUAGCAACAGCUGAAGUAAAUUCUGUGUCUAGAAGAAACUGAGGUCCCAAAACUUGUGUCUUGUUUUCUUGGAGUUUUCUCACAAGCGACUCCAACUUCCCCUCACAUGACCUCGUUCUUAGGCUGUGUCCUGAUUGUAUGAUUUUUUAUUUGUCUUGUUUUUUUUUGGGUGGAAAUCCUCAGUUACUUUUUGUCACAUAUUUGAAUACUUUUUUUUGUUUUUCAUAUAUUGCCAGUCUUAAGAAAUAUCUGAAUAUUACUUUUCCUAGGUCUCUCACAUCCGCGUGUCUCUCAGAACUAAAUAUCUCAGAGCCUAGGGAUCAUGUGAAAUUACCAGCAGAAAUGAUUUGAAACAAAUGUAAACUUCUUGAGCCUGAACCUCUGUCCAACACAAUCACUGAGUAUUUUUUAAAGGGAUUUUUUGAGGUGAAGAUCCAGCAAUAUAUUUCUACUCUUAGCCACUCAUAGAGAACUGAUAAAAGGACUCUGAGGUCUUUGCUAGUGAACUUGGUAAGGAGUGUCAGUCUGGAUGAACAUGAAAUAGGAUGCCUGGAUUUGAAAGGGAAGUAAUGACAAACUGUAUGGACACCCAAGUGGUCAGUAAUAUGAUGGGACCGCGAAAUAAGGGUUCAGAACUACUCUCAAAAGCCAAGAUGAAUUCUGUCUCACCUCUCUGCUCCCAGCCUAGACCAAAGAGCACCCCUGUGCAGUUGUAUGGGCAUGUGUCUUGGCACCUACUCGUAUCAUCAGUUACAGUUUUUAUUAAAUGUCAGACAAUGAGUGCUUCUGUCUUCAUUUAUUCUCAUUCAGUUUUUACAGUAAGCAGGAGAAAUGCGCAUUGUUCUCAUUGUAAGCAUUCUAUAGUUGUAAUAAAACAGCACCGCCAAGGCACUUACAGCAGGAGGUGUUUGCUUGGGCUGUUUCCAGCACAGGAAGAGCAUCCUAGUGGAGAAGUAUGGCCUCACGCAGCAGGCGUGGAGGCUGGACCAGGAAGCCGAGGCUUCACAGUGUGAACCCCUACCCCAAAGCACAGGUAGCUAUCAGAACACAGCACAGCCUGCUCCCAGCGACUCACUUCUGAUGAGGCGACACCUCCCAAUCCUCACUAACAACACUGCCGUUUUUGAACCAAGUGUUUCAAUGUCCGAGAAGGUAGAGAACAUCUCAUUUAAACCAGCACACUACAGUCUGCACAUAAUAGGAAAGCUAUGUUUCCAUAAACUAAUGCACACUAGAAAUUUGUUUAAGUUGCUUAGAAAGGAAAACUGCUCCAAGUCUACGGACCACACGCCUCUGAAAAAAGAGAUAUCAAAUAUUUGAAAGAGCUAAGAAUUUAGUCAGUUUUGACAACUCUUUGAUGCAUUAUAUAUUGAGCUAAAGGGCCAGGUGAACACCUCUGUUUCAACUUACUGGCUAGCCCCUGCGGGCUCACCUUUAGGUUAUUAAGACUUUACAGUAAUGUUUCUCAAAGUAAGUUGGAGGCAAAAUG